rnacentral:rRNA from 1 species
CCUACGGGAGGUAGCAGUCGAGAAUCAUUCACAAUGGGGGAAACCCUGAUGGUGCGACGCCGCGUGGGGGAAUGAAGGUCUUCGGAUUGUAAACCCCUGUCAUGUGGGAGCAAAUUAAAAAGAUAGUACCACAAGAGGAAGAGACGGCUAACUCUGUGCCAGCAGCCGCGGUAAUACAGAGGUCUCAAGCGUUGUUCGGAAUCACUUGGCGUAAGGGGUGCGUAGGCUGUUUCGUAAGUCGUGUGUGAAAGGCGCGGGCUCAACCCGCGGACGGCACAUGAUACUGCGAGACUAGAGUAAUGGAGGGGGAACCGGAAUUCUCGGUGUAGCAGUGAAAUGCGUAGAUAUCGAGAGGAACACUCGUGGCGAAGGCGGGUUCCUGGACAUUAACUGACGCUGAGGCACGAAGGCCAGGGGAGCGAAAGGGAUUAGAUACCCUGGUAGUC